rnacentral:rRNA from 1 species
GACGAAGGGGGCUAGCGUUGUUCGGAAUACUGGGCGUAAAGCGCGUGCAGGCGGUUGCCUAAGUCGGGUGUGAAAGCCUUGAGCUCAACUCAAGAAUUGCGCUCGAUACUGGGUGACUAGAGGACCGGAGAGGAUAGUGGAAUUCCCAGUGUAGUGGUGAAAUACGUAGAGAUUGGGAAGAACACCAGUGGCGAAGGCGGCUAUCUGGACGGUUUCUGACGCUAAGACGCGAAAGCGUGGGGAGCAAACAGG